AUUCUCACCACAAGCUGUUUUGUGGUUUACAUUUUGUACUGCUGCCCUAGAUUUUAACCAAAGUUAUUUAUUGAAAUAAAAAUAUAUGUUAUCUGACGUCUGUCUCCACUUUAUGUGCGGACCACGAGCCUGGGUCGUAACAGAUCAUGCCCCACAGCGGUGCGUUGAUGGACGAUCUGGACGCAGACAGAAGUGCAUCAGGUUUUACUUCCGCAGUCAUUGCAUCGCCAGAUCUCACUUUCAUCAUCAGUGAAGGAAACGCUGCGCUCUGUGCAGCCUGUGUCAUCUGGAGGACAAAGGAGCUCAGCACUCACAUUGAGUAGUAUUUCCCUUGUGCUUUGCCAUGCCUCCACAGUGUCAUUUUUCUUUUCACUGGUGUUAAUGAAGCAUUCUUUUCCUGAGCUCAAGUCACUUUUGGCUGCUGCUGCUGGUGAAAACAAGCAGCAGCUAAUCUCUGUAGGCUUCUUGAGCAAGGGGAUCCCUCCUCUUAAAUCAUUUCAGGACACUGUUACUCCUCCUCUCAGUGGAUUUUUUUUCUAUUAUCAUUGUGAUUUUUUUUCCCCACAGUGAAGUUUUGUGUGUGUGUGUGUGUGUGUGUGUGUGUGUGUGUGUGUGUGUGUGUGUGUGUG